UAGGGAAUCUUCCACAAUGGACGAAAGUCUGAUGGAGCAACGCCGCGUGAGUGAAGAAGGUUUUCGGAUCGUAAAGCUCUGUUGUAAGUCAAGAACGAGUGUGAGAGUGGAAAGUUCACACUGUGACGGUAGCUUACCAGAAAGGGACGGCUAACUACG
rnacentral:rRNA from 1 species